CCCGUUCACACUAGCAUUUUUUUUUUAAUCGAUCUAAUUUGAAUCGAUCUAAAUAAAACCAGUUAGCGUUCACAUUAUCUUUAAUCAUAAAGAAUCUCUACCGGUCUAAACCGAUCCACUGCGUUAACACUACAAUUAAAAACGCAAUCGAUCUAACCUUUUUACCCGUAAUCUGUAAACAUUGUGUAAACAUUGAUACUCUGACACACACACUUGAAAAAAAAAUGGAUAAAGUUAUUGUUUCUCCUGAAUCAGAAGUUAACAUUUUGGUACAGGUGUUAUUGCCGCGUUUUCUAUAAUUUUGAAAAAAAUAUCUGUAGUAACGAAGUUACAACACGACGAAAUAUUGCGGUUCCUGAAAGAAAAAAAAAAUCAUCAUAAGAAAAGAAGGC
rnacentral:lncRNA from 1 species